rnacentral:rRNA from 1 species
AUUGAACGCUGGCGGCAUGCCUUACACAUGCAAGUCGAACGGCAGCACGGACUUCGGUCUGGUGGCGAGUGGCGAACGGGUGAGUAAUGUAUCGGAACGUACCUUUCAGUGGGGGAUAACGUAGCGAAAGUUACGCUAAUACCGCAUAUUCUGUGAGCAGGAAAGCAGGGGAUCGCAAGACCUUGCGCUGAUUGAGCGGCCGAUAUCAGAUUAGCUAGUUGGUGAGGUAAAGGCUCACCAAGGCGACGAUCUGUAGCGGGUCUGAGAGGAUGAUCCGCCACACUGGAACUGAGACACGGUCCAGACUCCUACGGGAGGCAGCAGGGGGGAAUUUUGGACAAUGGGGCAACCCUGAUUCAGCCAAGCCGCGUGAGUGAAGAAGGCCUUCGGGUUGUAAAGCUCUUUCGGCCGGGAAGAAAUCGCAUAGGUUAAUACCCUGUGUGGAUGACGGUACCGGAAUAAGAAGCACCGGCUAACUACGUGCCAGCCGCCGCGGUAACAC